rnacentral:rRNA from 1 species
UUGUUGGUAAGGUAAAAGCUUACCAAGGCUUCGAUCAGUAGCUGGUCUGAGAGGACGACCAGCCACACUGGGACUGAGACACGGCCCAGACUCCUACGGGAGGCAGCAGUGGGGAAUUUUGGACAAUGGGGGCAACCCUGAUCCAGCCAUGCCGCGUGAGUGAAGAAGGCCUUCGGGUUGUAAAGCUCUUUCAGCCGGAACGAAACGGUUACGGAUAAUACCCGUGACUACUGACGGUACCGGAAGAAGAAGCACCGGCUAACUACGUGCCAGCAGCCGCGGUAAUACGUAGGGUGCAAGCGUUAAUCGGAAUUACUGGGCGUAAAGCGUGCGCAGGUGGUUUUGUAAGUCAGAUGUGAAAGCCCCGGGCUCAACCUGGGAACUGCGUUUGAAACUACAAGACUAGAGUGUGGCAGAGGGGGGUGGAAUUCCGCGUGUAGCAGUGAAAUGCGUAGAGAUGUGGAGGAACACCGAUGGCGAAGGCAGCCCCCUGGGUUAACACUGACACUCAGGCACGAAAGCAUGGGGAGCAAACAGGAUUAGAUACCCUGGUAGUCCAUGCCCUAAACGAUGUCAACUAGUUGUCGGGCCUUUACGGGCUUGGUAACGUAGCUAACGCGUGAAGUUGACCGCCUGGGGAGUACGAUCGCAAGAUUAAAACUCAAAUGAAUUGACGGGGACCCGCACAAGCGGUGGAUUAUGUGGAUUAAUUCGAUGCAACGCGAAAAACCUUACCUACCCUUGACAUGUAUCGAAGCCCGCAGAAAAGCGGGGGUGCCCGAAAGGGAACGAUAACACAGGUGCUGCAUGGCUGUCGUCAGCUCGUGUCGUGAGAUGUUGGGUUAAGUCCCGCAACGAGCGCAACCCUUGUCAUUAAUUGCCAUCAUUUAGUUGGGCACUUUAAUGAGACUGCCGG